ensembl:lncRNA
CUUCUCUUUAUCCUUCCUGCUUCCUGUGCAGACGGACCUCUGGGCUGGUCGAAACUGCCAAGUCACCUUCUUUGCUGUCGACGAAUGCUCUGCUGAUGUCGCCCGUUUCACCGGCGUAGUGACAUGUUCCGUUGCCACAGGAACGGCUGCUGUGUCUUCCAGGCCGGCACCGACCCCGGUGACCUUCCUUGCUUUGCCGUUGUUGUUUUUGUUCUGUUCCGUGAAGAGCUCAGUCAGCACUUCGGCUUCAGUGGUUUCUCCAAACAAGUCCCAGCCCGGCUCAGCAGGCAUCCGCUUGGAUCGCGCCACGGAAGCUUUGUUCCCAGCGGCAGAGAGCCUGGAGGAGCGACUCGGAUCCGAGUCGGAAAGGUCCUCGUGCGCAGGUGUGUUGAGAAGUGACGGGUAGCACCACUGUAGCUCAGCACUCUCCUCCCUCCCCCACUCCUUCAGCCCCACAUCGUCCACGUCUUUCUCCAGCGACGUGCUGCUGCUGCCCAGGUCAGAGCCGCUGAUCGGCUGGUCGCUGUCGUAGCCGGCCUCCU